rnacentral:lncRNA from 1 species
GGGACCAGUAUACAAAACAAAAUAAGAAAUAGAAACAAGUGGACGACCGCAGCGAAAGAUCAACAUGUGGUGAUGUGCAUGCGACCAUGACCGCAGUUUCUGGUUCUCCCACGCAUCUUUGUUCUUUUAUCUUGUUUUUGUUGCAUCUCUUUAAUGCGAUAAUAUAAACAAACUUUUAGGCCUCUGUUAUAGUUUAUUAUGCAUAGUCGUUUUCAGGGUAAGACUAAUACGAAAUCCAUCAACAUGAGCUAUAUAACUAACCAUGAAGAUGAACCAACUUAAAUGAGUAAAACCCUUCUUUUUUUUCUCUUACAAAAAUCGUUAAAUUCAAUCAUAGCAAGUAUAUCCGCUUGUUAGGUGUUGAGUGCUUACGCCAUGGCGUCCAGUCCGGUUGGUUCAGGUAUGAACCCUCGAGUCUAUUCACUCAACUAUGCGCUUAAUUCAGCUGAGAUUGCGAGCGUGAGGAGAUCAUCAAGAUCCAGCUACUCUGUUAAUGGCAUAAGAUAAACCGGCAACCAAGGAAACUUGGUGAACGCCACCCUCGAAUGCUUUAUAUCAACGGUUGAGAACGGGGAUUGAUAGUCUAAGGAUAACUGAACUAUUUAGCGGAUUGCGCCGGUUUAGAAGUGGUCGAGCGAAGCUAAAGAUGUUUAGUUAGAUGUAGAUCAUUUUUGUUCAAAUCAUGUUUGUAAUCAAAGUUUGAAUUUUUCGUAUUAGGUUUUGAUGUUUAGUUUAAUUUUCGUAAUCCGCUACUAGUUGUCUUUGUAAUUUCUGUCACAAACUUGAAAACUUGGUAUAAUAUUUAACAUUUUACCAAAAAAAAAAAAAAAAGUAUAUCCUGUUUAAAUUGGAUGAGAUCAAUCCAAGCAUAUAGAUGGUGUCUUAGACCUUACAUAACAUGAUAAGUCUUUGACCUUACAUUACAUAACAUGAUAAGUCUUUGACCUUACAUUACAUAACAUGAUAACAAUCAUCACUCGUAACUAUCUAAUAAGUGUGUUUGCAUCACUCAAAGAUGACUUUCCCUAACUUCCCACUACAUAACCAACACUUGUUUCUU